AACGAACGCUGGCGGCACGCUUUACACAUGCAAGUCGAACGGUAACAGGUUAAGCUGACGAGUGGCGAACGGGCGAGUAAUGUAUCGGAACAUGCCCAGUCGUGGGGGAUAACACUUCGAAAGAAGUGCUAAUACCGCAUACGUCCUGAGGGAGAAAGCGGGGGAUCUUCGGACCUCGCGCGAUUGGAGUGGCCGAUGUCAGAUUAGCUAGUUGGUGGGGUAAAGGCCUACCAAGGCAACGAUCUGUAGCUGGUCUGAGAGGAUGAUCAGCCGAACUGGGACUGAGACACGGCACAGACUCCUACGGGAGGCUGAAGUGGGGAAUGUUGGACAAUGGGGGCAACCCUGAUCCAGCCAUUCCGCGUGAGGGAAGAAGGCCUUCGGGUGGUAGAGCUCUUUCGGCAGGAACGAAACGGCGAGCUCUAACAUAGCUUGCUAAUGACGGUACCUGAAGAAGAAGCACCGGCUAACUACGUGCCAGCCGCCGCCGUAACAC
rnacentral:rRNA from 1 species